rnacentral:rRNA from 1 species
GCAAGUCGAGCGGACCGAUGGGAGCUUGCUCCCUUAGGUCAGCGGCGGACGGGUGAGUAACACGUGGGUAACCUGCCUGUAAGACUGGGAUAACUCCGGGAAACCGGGGCUAAUACCGGAUGCUUGAUUGAACCGCAUGGUUCAAUCAUAAAAGGUGGCUUUUAGCUACCACUUACAGAUGGACCCGCGGCGCAUUAGCUAGUUGGUGAGGUAACGGCUCACCAAGGCGACGAUGCGUAGCCGACCUGAGAGGGUGAUCGGCCACACUGGGACUGAGACACGGCCCAGACUCCUACGGGAGGCAGCAGUAGGGAAUCUUCCGCAAUGGACGAAAGUCUGACGGAGCAACGCCGCGUGAGUGAUGAAGGUUUUCGGAUCGUAAAACUCUGUUGUUAGGGAAGAACAAGUACCGUUCGAAUAGGGCGGUACCUUGACGGUACCUAACCAGAAAGCCACGGCUAACUACGUGCCAGCAGCCGCGGUAAUACGUAGGUGGCAAGCGUUGUCCGGAAUUAUUGGGCGUAAAGCGCGCGCAGGCGGUUUCUUAAGUCUGAUGUGAAAGCCCCCGGCUCAACCGGGGAGGGUCAUUGGAAACUGGGGAACUUGAGUGCAGAAGAGGAGAGUGGAAUUCCACGUGUAGCGGUGAAAUGCGUAGAGAUGUGGAGGAACACCAGUGGCGAAGGCGACUCUCUGGUCUGUAACUGACGCUGAGGCGCGAAAGCGUGGGGAGCGAACAGGAUUAGAUACCCUGGUAGUCCACGCCGUAAACGAUGAGUGCUAAGUGUUAGAGGGUUUCCGCCCUUUAGUGCUGCAGCAAACGCAUUAAGCACUCCGCCUGGGGAGUACGGUCGCAAGACUGAAACUCAAAGGAAUUGACGGGGGCCCGCACAAGCGGUGGAGCAUGUGGUUUAAUUUGAAGCAACGCGAAGAACCUUACCAGGUCUUGACAUCCUCUGACAACCCUAGAGAUAGGGCUUCCCCUUCGGGGGCAGAGUGACAGGUGGUGCAUGGUUGUCGUCAGCUCGUGUCGUGAGAUGUUGGGUUAAGUCCCGCAACGAGCGCAACCCUUGAUCUUAGUUGCCAGCAUUCAGUUGGGCACUCUAAGGUGACUGCCGGUGACAAACCGGAGGAAGGUGGGGAUGACGUCAAAUCAUCAUGCCCCUUAUGACCUGGGCUACACACGUGCUACAAUGGGCAGAACAAAGGGCAGCGAAGCCGCGAGGCUAAGCCAAUCCCACAAAUCUGUUCUCAGUUCGGAUCGCAGUCUGCAACUCGACUGCGUGAAGCUGGAAUCGCUAGUAAUCGCGGAUCAGCAUGCCGCGGUGAAUACGUUCCCGGGCCUUGUACACACCGCCCGUCACACCACGAGAGUUUGUAACACCCGAAGUCGGUGAGGUAA